rnacentral:snRNA from 1 species
AGAUUGGUCACUGUAUUUUUAUACUAAAAUUGGAAUGAUACAGAGAAGAUUACCAUGGCCCCUGCACAAGGAUGACACACAAAUUCGUGAAG